rnacentral:pre_miRNA from 1 species
UCUCAUGAAUGAUCAAAGAAGUAGCUUCCUGAGAUGAAAUCUACUCUGGUGAUGUGAACAUUGGGAA